AUUGAACGCUGGCGGCAGGCCUAACACAUGCAAGUCGAGCGGAGCUGCGGACGGGGGGGGAAUGCCUAGGAAUCUGCACGGUGGUGGGGGAUACAGUCCGGGGACGGACGCCAAGAACGCAUGCUAUAAGAUCAGCCUCGGGGGGAGUAGCUGGGUGGUGCGGUAACGGCUUACCAAGGCGACGAUCCGUAGCUGAACUGAGAGGAUGAUCGGUCACACGGGGACUGAGACACGGUCCAGACUCCUACGGGAGGCAGCAGUGGGGAAUCUUGGACAAUGGGCGAAAGCCUGACCCAGCAACGCCGCGUGUGUGAAGAAGGUCUUCGGAUUGUAAAGCACUGUAAGUAGGGAGGCGUUAUCUAAAGAGUAAGCACCGGCUAACUUCGUGCCAGCAGCCGCGGUAAUAC
rnacentral:rRNA from 1 species